CGGUUAUUUUGCUGCAGCCGGACUGCAGCAAAAAAUAAAAUGCCGGGGUUCUGCCCCAGCGGGGUCCAGGGGGUCCUGAAAGAUGAGUGGUGCCAGGAAUGAGAGAGUCGGAGUCGUGCCUUUGGAGCAAUCUCAAGAGAGAGGGCUCUAAUUCAGCUUUCUCUGGGCCAUCUUUCAUUACAUUUUUUCUCAUCAUUAUAGAUUCAGAAUCAUUAAUAGAAUACGUUGUUGAGUUUACAAUUUCCAUGUUUUCCCAAGAUGUGACAUUUUCUUAACAAUUGUUAUGGGUAUAGAAAAAUGCAUCAUCAAUUUACAUUUUCCCAGGAUGUGACAUUUCCUUAUCAAUCAUUAAGGAUACAAAAUCAUUAAGAAAAUGCGUCACUAAUUUGCAUUUUCAGAUUUUUCCCAAGAUGUAACUAUUAUUAUCAGAUGCCAGACUACAUAACCAGACCCUAAGUCUCCCAACCUAUUAUUAACCUUUAAGUUUAAAGUACACGCACUUUAUUUCUAAUCUAAGAUCCCCAUCUAAAGAAGUCCCCUUAAAUCUUAUACUUAAAAUAUCCUAAAGUCUAUAAACUAUUCUUAAAUCAUCUUAAGGACCCGAUACAGCUAGAAACUUAAGAAUUCUAAAUUUAAGAAUCUAAACAAAAUUAUAUUUCUAACAUUAUUCUAAAAAUGUGUCUUGUAAAGCUACUUUAAUUCCUAUGUUUAUUCUCUUAAAACUGGUUGAGCUGCUUUCUAAAAGAGUUUCUUUGUUUUGUUUCUUAGUCAAGGUACAAGGUUCUUAUAUCUUUGUAUCUCUCCCACUGAAAGGCAAGUUCUGAGCAUCAGUCCACUUACCACCAAUAUUAGCUAUUCUUAUCAUAAGUCCCUAUGUGAGGUAAAAGAGGAUUUAUAGAAGAGGGGGGAAUGUAUCUUUAUUUGCCUUAACUUUCCUAAGUGUAUAACAUAAUUUUCCCUUAAUUAAAUAAAACUACAUAUGGUGGGCUUUGUGCAGUAAGCAUAAUAAUUAGGCUUUCUAAGAGGCUGGAGAUAUGGGCUUGGGUUCUUAGUUGAUAUAAUCAAUGUGGUGCCUAAAGUUCUCGUGACUUUUCGGAGAAUGAUUUUUGUUCAUUAUCAGUUUUGUCCUCAAUGUGCUGAGAUAGAAUGCCUUCUAUUUUGUCCUCCAUAUGCUGAGAAGUAGUAGAGCAGCCUUCAAGGCAUGAACUACCUGUUAUGUUCUAGUCAUCUGAAAUUUAAUUCGGUUUAGCAUCCUCAUGCUUCCUGUCAGGAAUAUGAGCAUGAAAAUAAAAAGUCCCAAUUACAUAAAAAAAGGUCUCAUGGUUUUGGUUUCCCACCAGUGCGGAUUUGCCAGCAUUUAUCCUCACUGUGACCUUGUCAAGACAGUGGGAGGGGGAGCGACUUCACCAAUAAAACUUUUACACCAUUUUUAAAUUUACUAAACAGAUUAUGAAUUUUGAAUAAUCUAAUUAUUGUGAAAAAAUAAAUGCGUAAACACUUCUUUAACAGCCUUUAAUUUUAUGUCAUUGUUUUCUUCUUGAACCUCACACAUCGAUGUGUAUCAAAUAUAAAAUAAUCAUUUGAAGCUUUCUAUAUCCUACUUUCCCACCGUAAAAACAUACAUGCACUCUACAAUAACUUUGGAGAUGGCAUAAACCUCUAGUUUUUAUUAGAAUUUCUAGGCAUUGAAUUAUCAUUAAAAUUAUUCUUGUAUACAAUUAACCAUAACAAUAAAAUAUUAUCAAUUUGCAAACUAAUUCAUAAAUUUAAAGGUUAAAUAAUCACAUAUUUAUCUAAAUGUAAUUAGUUCAUAUAAUCAUCAGUAAAGAUGCACAUUGCCAUAAGUUUCAGCAUUAACUUUAUGCCUAAUUUAUAACUACUGAGAAAAUGUAUUUUAGCAC
rnacentral:lncRNA from 1 species